CGAGGGCAAGGGGGCCGCUGCGGGCUGGAGAUUUCCAGUUCUGAAGUUAGACGGCACCCGGGUCCACAAGCCUGGCUAUCACGAAGCAGCAACCCUGGAUGUCUCCAGUGCCUGUGACAGUGCCUGGAACGUGGUUUCUGCUCAACAAACAUUUGCUGGAUGAGUGAGGGUCACAAUGAACCAGUCUCCUUCCACACGUCACUAGAUACCUCAGCAUCCCUCCCCACACCCCAGCUGUGACAAUCAAGAGUGUCUCUAAGACUUGCAGAAUGUCCCCGGAGGUGGAAGAGGCAAACUUCCCCUGCCGCCCCGGCUGAGAACCACUGGCUACAGAGAACCCACGUCUCCAGCCUUCCCAGAUAAGUCACUGUCACCCUCCCGUACUUCCUGCUGUCUGCUCUCCCACUUCACUGAGACUCUCUGGGACAAGGGACCCUGCCUGGGUUUGUUCUGCUGGAGCAGACCCUGCAGAUGCACACUUUUCGGUUCGAUGAAGACCCAGCUCCCAGAGCAGACGGCUCCUGGUCCGGGUGGCCGAGAAUGAGUUUGGGGCUCAACGUGAGUGGAAAAGAGGGUUCAGGCAGCUAACGGUUAGUUGUUGUACAGGGUGUGGACAGAGUGUGGACAGCAAACGCGUCUACACCUUUAGAGACAGGGAGGCCUGACCCCAAGACAGGUCACGCCGAGGUGGGCCUGCACAGACGAGGACCAUCCAGCGGGAUAAAACCCGAGUUUGCCCACACUUCAGAAGGAUGAGAGGCCGCGCCCACGGGGAGAAGAAGUCAGCCGGGAGAGAAGCGGACUGGGAGCCCAUUGGAGGACACCGCCUCCCCUCCGUGUCUGAGCGGCUGUCGGUGAAGCAGCAGGUCCAGCCGGGGCUCAGCCGCCCAGAGGAGGGCCCGGCACCUCUGGCAUCACCAGCAUGCUGACCGAGCACCCUGCUCUGCCAGGGCUGGCAGGUUCCCUGGGAUCGCUGCCAAGACCGAGAACCCUGCCAACUAGGCAGGCCGAGCGCUUUUUCUUUUUUCUAGGGUUUAUUUAUUUACUUUGGCCGUGCUGUGCCACUUGUGGAAUCUUAGUUGACCGACCAGGGAUGGAACCCAAGUGGAAUCUCAGGGUCCUAACCCCUGGAACGCCAGGGAAGUCCUUAGUUAUCUUUUUUACAGUAGUCAUCUGCUGAUGUGUUGGCCCAGCCAUACUGGAAUGAGUGACGUCUGUGUGUUCUGCAGAGCCAGGCAGGACGCGGGAGCGCCCAGGAGGCUCUGGGUCAGGACUGUACUUUACAAAGAUCAGCCCAAGCUUAGAAGCGCCAACCCUCAGGCCACCUGAUGCAAACAGCCGGCUCACUGGGAAAGACCCUGGUGCUGGGAAAGACUG